AUGUCUUAACCGUCAGUAUAUUAUAUAAAACAGACACCAACCGCUAACACAAUAAGCCACUUUUGUAGUAGUGAAAGGCACAAAAAUGAGGAAUAUCAACUCAUAGAAAUCUUCAAACCCUUUUCUCAAUCUUCUCUUUGCCGAUUUUCCUCUCUUCUUUGUAAAUUUAUGUCACAACAUGUGGUAUUUUUUUUAUCGUCCAAUUAUUGCUAUUUACAUAAGAGUGAUAUUAUGCUCACUUCUUUGUCUUAUCUUCGCACCCACCAUAUAUUCAGACCUACUAUUAAAAAAAUAAAAAUAAAAACACCCUACUAUCUUCCCACCCACUACCAUUAUCCCCAAAGUACCCUUUCAAUCCCCGUCUUUGACAUGGCUCACCAGCACAACUCCCUCUUCCCUUGCCCAUGAGAAGCCCAAAUCCGAUCACAUCCAUGUUUUCAUGUUGCAUGAUUUCUUCUUCUAUAGCCUGUUCUUCCAUUCUAUUUUUUUCAAAUAUUUGAAUCAAUUUUUUACUGUUAAACACACUUUUUUCUUUUAUAAAUGAUUAUAUCUAUAUGCGUGAAAUAACGGAAGCAAGACCGUGACCACUCUUCUGCACUUUUACCACCAUCCCCAGUAUCCCACGGCCAACAACGCAGGUGAUGCAACGACAGUUGCUCAACAAUCAAAGAAUCCAAGCCAAAAGAAUAAGAAGCGAAAUCGGUAGAGAAAGCGACUCCAUCUCUGUUGCCACCAGAGAAGCCGGAGGCCAACAAUUGAUACGGUAACUGAUGCAUUCAACGCGUUUUGGGAUGCGUAUUAUGACUGGCCCGACGAAUACAACAAGAUCAACUCGUGAUUCAAUCAUAUAUUCAUUUAUUUAUGUUCCAAUAAACGCAAAUUAAAAAUUAUAAGGAAUAAAAUGAAGAGGAGAUGUUUUAGGAAAUUGAGAUUACAAGUUGGGAAAUUUUAUUUGAACCCAUCUAACCUCUUUUUACACCUAAUUUAAAUUUUAAAUGUGAACUUUCUUUAUUACCCUAUUGCAUAAUUACCAUUAAGUACAAAAUAAAAGUAACAAGAAAAAUAAGAUUUAUCAAUAAAUCCACCCCUAAUAAUCAAACUUGUUGUGACAUAUGUUCUUAUCAAUAUGUGAUUGUGUAAAUCCUAAGUAGAGAUAAAAUAGGAAUCUUUUGGGAUCUAGAAGAUCUUUCCUAAUAUACUUUGUAUUACUUGGAGAGCAAGUUUCUCUCCUCCUAAUU
rnacentral:lncRNA from 1 species